rnacentral:lncRNA from 1 species
UUUGGAAGCCUAACUUGGAAGAAUACCAUUUGGAAGACCCCUUGGAUGAAGCUUGCAAAGCAAGGAAGUUGAGAUAGCUUUAGUUCGCGCCGCGAACCUCUUUCGCGCUGCGAAGGCUGCGAAUCCAGCAAGCUAUUUUUGGGCCAAGGGUGCUGUUUUUCAUGACCAACUGGUUUUGCCAUUUUGGUGUCUGCCUUGGGGGAGCUUUUCUGCCUUAGAUGAGAAAUGAUCAUUUUAGAAAAUGUCAACCCUUUUAGAAAAUCAGAAUGGAAAGUGAUAUUCAUUGUAACACAUUAACACAUUCAUAGAUACUUAGAGAUUUUGUAAGAGAGAAAAGCAGAGUUUUUCUUCCAUCGCAUUUUUGCUUUUGAAAAUGAUGAUGAGGAGCUAAACC